UACGUAGGGGGCAAGCGUUGUCCGGAUUUAUUGGGCGUAAAGAGCGUGUAGGCGGCCUGAAAGGUCAGCUGUAAAAACUCGAGGCUCAACCUCGAGACGCCGAUGGAAACCCCCUGGCUAGAGUCCGGAAGAGGAGAGUGGAAUUCCUGGUGUAGCGGUGAAAUGCGCAGAUAUCAGGAAGAACACCCGUGGCUAAGGCGGCUCUCUAGUACGGUACUGACGCUGAGACGCGAAAGCGUGGGGAGCGAACAGG
rnacentral:rRNA from 1 species